GAUGAAGAACGUAGCGAAAUGCGAUAAGUAAUGUGAAUUGCAGAAUUCAGUGAAUCAUCGAAUCUUUGAACGCACAUUGCGCCCGCCAGUAUUCUGGCGGGCAUGCCUGUUCGAGCGUCAUUACAACCCUCAGGCCCCCGGGCCUGGCGUUGGGGAUCGGCGGAGCCCCCCGUGGGCACACGCCGUCCCCCAAAUGCAGUGGCGGUCCCGCCGCAGCUUCCAUCGCGUAGUAGCUAACACCUCGCGACUGGAGAGCGGCGCGGCCACGCCGUAAAACACCCAACUUUCUUAGAGUUGACCUCGGAUCAGGUAGGAAUACCCGCUGAACUUAAGCAUAUCAAUAAGCGGAGGA
rnacentral:misc_RNA from 1 species